GUCAUGGCGUAUCACGGCCUCACGGUGCCUUUGAUCGUGAUGAGCGUGUUCUGGGGCUUCGUCGGCUUCGUUGUGCCCUGGUUCAUCCCCAAAGGUCCCAACCGGGGAGUUAUCAUCACCAUGUUGGUGACCUGUUCGGUUUGCUAUCUCUUUUGGUUGAUUGCAAUUCUGGCCCAACUCAACCCUCUCUUUGGACCACAGUUAAAAAAUGAAACCAUCUGGUAUCUGAAGUAUCAUUGGCCUUGAGGAGAAAGACGUGCUCCACAGUGCCGAAUCAUUGAGGUCACGAAGAAAAUGCCUUCUAGAUGCAAAACCACCUCCAAACCCAGGUCGCCUUCUUUGGCCCAUUUUGGGCAUCAGCUGCCUUAAACAAACUAAGUUCUCACCACAUUUGAAGAUCGUUUUCUACAAUGCAGUAUUUUUUCCUUCAUCUUUUUUACACUUUGAUGAGAGAUGUGCCUUCUUAACCUACGCUGUGCUGUGCUAACUCUACAAAAUGUCCGUG